AACGAACGCUGGCGGCAGGCUUAACACAUGCAAGUCGAGCGCCCCGCCAGGGGAGCGGCAGACGGGUGAGUAACGCGUGGGAACGUACCUUUUGGUUCGGAACAACUCCGGGAAACUGGAGCUAAUACCGGAUAAGCCCUAACGGGGAAAGAUUUAUCGCCGAAAGAUCGGCCCGCGUCUGAUUAGCUAGUUGGUGAGGUAACGGCUCACCAAGGCGACGAUCAGUAGCUGGUCUGAGAGGAUGAUCAGCCACACUGGGACUGAGACACGGCCCAGACUCCUACGGGAGGCAGCAGUGGGGAAUAUUGGACAAUGGGCGCAAGCCUGAUCCAGCCAUGCCGCGUGAGUGAUGAAGGCCUUAGGGUUGUAAAGCUCUUUUGUCCGGGAAGAUAAUGACUGUACCGGAAGAAUAAGCCCCGGCCAACUUCGUG
rnacentral:rRNA from 1 species